rnacentral:rRNA from 1 species
UGCGGCCUAUCAGGUAGUUGUGGGUGUAACGUACCUACUAGCCUACGACCGGUACGGGUUGUGAGAGCAAGAGCCCGGAGAUGGAUUCUGAGACACGGAUCCAGGCCCUACGGGGUGCAGCAGGCGCGAAAACUUUACAAUGCUGGCAAUCGCGACGGGGGGACCCCAAGUGCCACGUUUAACAUCUGGCUGUUUCGAUGCCGAAAAAACCUUUCGGAAUAAGGGCCGGGCA